rnacentral:rRNA from 1 species
AGAAUCAACGCUGGCGGCGUGCCUAACACAUGCAAGUCGCACGAGAAAGGGACUUCGGUCCUGAGUACAGUGGCGCACGGGUGAGUAACACGUGAAUAAUCUACCUCCGAGUGGGGAAUAACCUAGAGAAAUCUGGGCUAAUACCGCAUAACACUUACGAGUCAAAGCAGCAAUGCGCUUGGAGAGGAGUUCGCGGCAGAUUAGUUAGUUGGCAGGGUAAUGGCCUACCAAGACGAUGAUCUGUA